rnacentral:rRNA from 1 species
AGCGAACGCUGGCGGCGUGCCUAACACAUGCCAGUCGAACGUGAAAAGGGAAACCUGAGUAAAGUGGCGUACGGGUGAGUAACGCGUAGGCAAUCUACCCCAGAAUCUGGAAUAACCUGCCGAAAGGCGGGCUAAUACUGGAUAGAGCGAGGGAACUCGUAAGAGAGUUUUUCGGGAAAGGGAGCCCGCAAGGGCCUUCGUUCUGGGAUGAGCCUGCGUCUCAUUAGCUAGUUGGUAAGGUAACGGCUUACCAAGGCGAUGAUGAGUAGCUGGUCUGAGAGGAUGAUCAGCCACACUGGAACUGAAACACGGUCCAGACUCCUACGGGAGGCAGCAGUGGGGAAUCUUGCGCAAUGGACGAAAGUCUGACGCAGCCACGCCGCGUGAGUGAAGAAGGCCUUCGGGUUGUAAAGCUCUGUCGGAUGGGACGAACAUCUUCAUAGUGAAUAGCUAUGAGGACUGACGGUACCAUCAAAGGAAGCACCGGCUAACUCCGUG